UACAUGGGGUGCAAACGUUGCUCGGAAUUAUUGGGCGUAAAGCGCGCGUAGGCGGUUACUUAAGUCGGAUGUGAAAGCCCUCGGCUUAACUGAGGAAGUGCACCCGAAACUGAGUAGCUGGAGUACGAAAGAGGGUCGCGGAAUUCCCGGUGUAGAGGUGAAAUUCGUAGAUAUCGGGAGGAACACCGGUGGCGAAGGCGGCGACCUGGGUCGAGACUGACGCUGAGGCGCGAAAGCGUGGGGAGCAAACGGG
rnacentral:rRNA from 1 species